rnacentral:misc_RNA from 1 species
AAGUCGUAACAAGGUUUCCGUAGGUGAACCUGCGGAAGGAUCAUUAAUGAAUUUAACGGCAGAGUUGUCGCUGGCCAUCUGGCAUGUGCACGCUCUGUUAAUUCAUCCACACACCUUUGUGCACCUUUCAUAGAUUGACAUACGGUGGAGUUCUUUCUUUACCAGUCUUUCUGUGCUAUAUCCUUACAAACAUCAGUAUCAGAAUGUCUCCUUGCGAUUAACGCAUUAAAUACAACUUUCAACAACGGAUCUCUUGGCUCUC